UACGAAGGGGGCUAGCGUUGCUCGGAAUUACUGGGCGUAAAGGGCGCGUAGGCGGGUCGUUUAGUUAGAGGUGAAAGCCCAGGGCUCAACCCUGGAAUUGCCUUUAAUACUGGCGGCCUUGAGUAUGGCAGAGGUGUGUGGAACUCCGAGUGUAGAGGUGAAAUUCGUAGAUAUUCGGAAGAACACCAGUGGCGAAGGCGACACACUGGGCCAUUACUGACGCUGAGGCGCGAAAGCGUGGGGAGCAAACGGG
rnacentral:rRNA from 1 species